GCCCCCUUAGUUAAGUGGUAUAACAGUUGACUUGUAAUCAUCAGUUGGCGGUUCGAUUCCGUCAGGGGGCACCA
rnacentral:tRNA from 2 species